UACGUAGGGUGCGAGCGUUAAUCGGAAUUACUGGGCGUAAAGCGUGCGCAGGCGGUUUUGUAAGCCAGGGGUGAAAUCCCCGGGCUCAACCCGGGAAUGGCAUUUGGGACUGCAAGGCUGGAGUGCGGCAGAGGAGACUGGAAUUCCUGGUGUAGCAGUGAAAUGCGUAGAUAUCAGGAGGAAUACCGAUGGCGAAGGCAGGUCUCUGGGCUGACACUGACGCUCAUGCACGAAAGCGUGGGGAGCAAACAGG
rnacentral:rRNA from 1 species